rnacentral:rRNA from 1 species
AGGACGAACGCUGGCGGCGUGCUUAACACAUGCAAGUCGAGCGGUAAGGCCUUUCGGGGUACACGAGCGGCGAACGGGUGAGUAACACGUGGGUGAUCUGCCCUGCACUUCGGGAUAAGCCUGGGAAACUGGGUCUAAUACCGGAUAUGACCUCCUAUCGCAUGGUGGGUGGUGGAAAGUAUUUAUCGGUGCAGGAUGGGCCCGCGGCCUAUCAGUCGUUGUUGGUGGGUAAUGGCCUACAAGGCGACGACGGGUAGCCGACCUGAGAGGGUGACCGGCCACACGUGGACUGACGACGACGGCCCACGACUCCGUACGGGAGGC